GCAGCAGCCGCGGUAAUGCGUAGGUGGCAAGCGUUGUCCGGAAUUAUUGGGCGUAAAGGGCUCGCAGGCGGUUUCUUAAGUCUGAUGUGAAAGCCCCCGGCUCAACCGGGGAGGGUCAUUGGAAACUGGGAAACUUGAGUGCAGAAGAGGAGAGUGGAAUUCCACGUGUAGCGGUGAAAUGCGUAGAGAUGUGGAGGAACACCAGUGGCGAAGGCGACUCUCUGGUCUGUAACUGACGCUGAGGAGCGAAAGCGUGGGGAGCGAACAGGAUUAGAGACCCGUGUAGUCCCUGUCUCUUAUAC
rnacentral:rRNA from 1 species